rnacentral:rRNA from 1 species
GACGAACGCUGGCGGCGUGCCUAAUACAUGCAAGUAGAACGCUGAAGGAGGAGCUUGCUUCUCCGGAUGAGUUGCGAACGGGUGAGUAACGCGUAGGUAACCUGCCUGGUAGCGGGGGAUAACUAUUGGAAACGAUAGCUAAUACCGCAUAACAGUAGAUGUUGCAUGACAUUUGCUUAAAAGGUGCAAUUGCAUCACUACCAGAUGGACCUGCGUUGUAUUAGCUAGUUGGUGAGGUAACGGCUCACCAAGGCGACGAUACAUAGCCGACCUGAGAGGGUGAUCGGCCACACUGGGACUGAGACACGGCCCAGACUCCUACGGGAGGCAGCAGUAGGGAAUCUUCGGCAAUGGACGGAAGUCUGACCGAGCAACGCCGCGUGAGUGAAGAAGGUUUUCGGAUCGUAAAGCUCUGUUGUAAGAGAAGAACGAGUGUGAGAGUGGAAAGUUCACACUGUGGCGGUAUCUUACCAGAAAGGGACGGCUAACUACGUG